CCUACGGGAGGCAGCAGUGAGGAAUAUUGGUCAAUGGACGAGAGUCUGAACCAGCCAAGUAGCGUGAAGGAUGACUGCCCUAUGGGUUGUAAACUUCUUUUAUAAAGGAAUAAAACGAGGCACGUGUGCCUUUUUGCUUGUACUUUAUGAAUAAGGAUCGGCUCACUCCGUGCCAGCAGCCGCGGUAAUACGGAGGAUCCGAGCGUUAUACGGAUUUAUUGGGUUUAAAGGGAGCGUAGAUGGGUUGUUAAGUCAGUUGUGAAAGUUUGCGGCUCAACCGUAAAAUUGCAAUUGAUACUGGCAGUCUUGAGUACAGUUGAGGUAGGCGGAAUUCGUGGUGUAGCAGUGAAAUGCUUAGAUAUCACGAAGAACCCCGAUUGCGAAGGCAGCUUACUAAACUGUGACUGACAUUGAUGCUCGAAAGUGUGGGUAUCAAACAGGAUUAGAUACCCGAGUAGUC
rnacentral:rRNA from 1 species